CAAGUGUGUCAUUAAAAGCCAUUGUUUCCUUGUUGAUCUUCUACUUAAAUGAUCUGUAAAUUGCUGUGAGUGGGGAGUUAAAAUCCCCAACUAUUAUCAUAAUAUUAUCAGUGAGUUUAAGUAUGUUAUUAAAUGAUUUAUAUAAUUGGCUGCUUUUAUGUUAGGGGCAUAAAUAUUUACAACUGUUAGAACUUCUUGUUAGGUAGACCCUUUUAUUACAAUAUAGUGGCCUUUUUCAUCUUCA